CAUAAUACUUUAUUUACUAAAAACUAUUCAAUUGAAAAAAGCAUAGCAUGAGUUUUUUUACAAUAUAAAUUGAUGAAACAAUUUUGUAUUUGAUUCAUGCAAAGCUAGAAGAAAAAAUGGAUAAAACUCUCAAAGUCAUUUAUACUAUCAUCCUUUUUGUGUUCCUAUUUCUUGUUGUAGUCGAUGUUGGUGGUGAUAUUAUAGAUCGUCCAUGUCACGAUGACAUCGGUUGUAUAACUUACCCGUGUCCCCGUUAUGCUCAAGGAUAUUGCUCAACGGGUCGUUGUAGAUGCACAAGAUCAUCAUGUUAAGAGUUAUAGUCAACACGAUGAUGACAAGCAAUCGAUGGAGGUUUUCUUGUGAAAGUGGAGUACUAGAGGCAUGUGCCUCACUUUAUUUUUUUAGUUUUUUUUAUUGUUGUUGUAUGAGGUGGAGUAACUCUUGAUUGAGUUAUUCUUUUCAAUAAUUGUUUGUAUUCCUUGAUAUUUAAUGUUUUCACUUGUUUUAUUUAUAAAUUUUAAAGGUUAUGAUUUAUAAAAUUAUUGUUAUUAUUUGUUUUUUUUAAAUAUCAUAUUUUUGUAACAUAAAAACUUAGUGUGUGUUUACGUUGUAAUUUUAAUUACUAUCAAUAUCUUUCAUUAUAA